UACAGAGGUCUCAAGCGUUGCUCGGAAUCACUGGGCGUAAAGCGCACGUAGGCGGAUUGUUAAGUCAGGGGUGAAAUCCUGGAGCUCAACUCCAGAACUGCCUUUGAUACUGGCGAUCUUGAGUCCGGGAGAGGUGAGUGGAACUGCGAGUGUAGAGGUGAAAUUCGUAGAUAUUCGCAAGAACACCAGUGGCGAAGGCGGCUCACUGGCCCGGUACUGACGCUGAGGUGCGAAAGCGUGGGGAGCAAACAGG
rnacentral:rRNA from 1 species